GCCUACGGGGCGCAGCAGUGGGGAAUAUUGCACAAUGGGGGGAACCCUGAUGCAGCGACGCGGCGUGAGUGAAGAAGUAUUUCGGUAUGUAAAGCUCUAUCAGCAGGAACGAGACAAGACGGUACCUGACUAAGAAGCCCCGGCUAACUACGUGCCAGCAGCCGCGGUAAUACGUAGGGGGCAAGCGUUAUCCGGAAUCACUGGGUGUAAAGGGAGCGUAGACGGCUGAGAAAGCCUGACGUGAAUGGC
rnacentral:rRNA from 1 species